rnacentral:rRNA from 1 species
AUGCAUGGACGGGCCUGGACAAUGGAUGGCCACCGUGGUACGUACUGGCACAACAUAAAAGAAGAACUAGGGGAGAGAGAGAGAGAGAGAUGCUUGCUGGGGCUAGGCGUCGAGGUCGCCGGUGUUGAGCAAUGCCGCAGCCUGGACGUCACCAUCGGCCCUGGGGCUGCUGCCGGUGGCCGGCGGUUGCGGAGGGGGCCCAGCCAUCGAGGCGACAGCGAGGAGCCCAUGAGAGGGGUUGGAGGAGAAGAUGGACCUGCUUGGGCCGGCGGGAACCGCUGGACGUCGUCGCCGUCAUGGAUUCAGCCGCCGCAGCCGCACCAUACGGGCUGGAUCCGCCGAUCCGGUCGCUGCGUCGACAAAGUCGUGGCUAGGGCCAGCGACGACGUUGCGGUGGGAUGGAGCAGCAUAGGCGGCGGCCGCGUCGUCCCGGUGCCAGAGGAAAAAGGGGGCUGCCGCGCCGUCCCGGUGCCGGUGGAAAAAGGAGGCGGCCGCGUCUGGGGUGGAGGAGCUCCCUUGCGAUCCGCUGGCUAG